GACAGAGGCCUCAAGCGUUAGGCGGAAUCACUGGGCUUAAAGCGUGUGUAGGCGGAUCGUUAAGUGUCUUGUGAAACUCCCACGGCUCACCCGUGGAACUGCUGGGCAUACUGGCGAUCUUGGGCCAACUAGGGGCAACUGGAACAAGCGGUGGAGCGGUGAAAUGCGUAGAUAUCGCUUGGAACGCCAAAAGGUGAAAACAGG
rnacentral:rRNA from 1 species